rnacentral:lncRNA from 1 species
GGAAAAGAAGGGAAUGAAAAUAAGGUGAAAGGGAUGAGGUGAGGCACACUUUUGUAAGUAUGACUUUUUAACUUUUUCUUUUUGGUACUGGGGAGUUAACCCAGGUGUGCUUUGACACUGAGCUACAUCCCUGGCUCUUUUUAUUUUUUAUUUUGAACGGUCUCAGUAAGUUGCCUAGGUUGGUGUCAAACUUAUGAUCCUCCUGCUUCAGCCUCCUAAGUCACUGAGAUCACAGGAAAAAGCACAUUUCUGUUUUUAUGGAAAUUAAAUUAUGGCUAAAUGAGGACUCCCUUCUGGAUAAUUCUCACCUCCACUUCCUGUUGUUGUUCUCCUUUUCCCUCUUUCUCCUCCACUUCAUCGUGUGUCUCAGGGCUGGUUAAUUGUGCUGUUUUGCUCCUGCAGGACCCUGCUCUUACUUGUUUCUCCCCGUUUCGCCCAUUUCUUAGCGCCCACCUUACUCGGGCCGGCUCUGGCCCUGUGUGUCCAUGGGUGUCUCAGUCCCCGUGUUCUGAACGUGUCUGUGAUUCAGGGUCCUUCUGCGUGCUGCUGGGAUCCGGGACGCUCCACUGCACUUUCCUUCUGCCCCUGG